ACAACCUUGUGAGACUUGAGCCUAAACAUUUAUUUGGAGAGUUAAUAAUCUGUGCAUCAUUGUUUUCUAAAGUUGUUGCAUGAUCUCAUUAUUCUUUGCUUGGUUGCUACUUAAAAGGCGUUUCAUCAUUUAGUUCCAAAUGCUAGAACUCAUGCCUAUUUCAUUCAAAGCAUGCUAUUGAUUUGCAUAACACAUAUUGGAGAUGAAGUUGUGUAGUGACCACCAAAGCCAAAUUGCCGUGCCCCUAUUUCAUUAUGUGUUAAGUUUAACCCCGUUGAGCCUUGUUAAGCCUAUGUUCUUUGUUAAUCCACACUAUCCUUACCUAGCCUAGUUUUAGGACCAUCCAUACCCUUGUUCUUGAAGCAUAGUAAAGCAUGACUUAAAAUGAACUCCUUUUUUAUCAAUGUAUUGCAGAAAACAAGUGUGGGGGAAGUGAUUCUUGUGUGUGUAUGUGUGCCAAAGUCCUUACUAAGGCAUGGGUAGAAAAAAAAAAUAAAAGGAGUGAAAAGAAAAAAGUUUGUUAAAAAAAGGGUCCAAAACAUUGAAUUCGACCCUAAGUGUUGCAUGAAUCUUCCCUUUGUAUUUAAAAGUUGAUUCUGCAUUCUAAAGUGAAUUCCAAGUGUCUAUUUCAUUGCUUUGCUUGUUAUCGCUUUAAGAACGUUUGUUAUUCCUAUCCUUUCUUUAUUAGUCAUUACCCUCAAGCCCUGUUACAAUCCUUGACUUCAAUCUUGAGUGUUGUGUGUUUCAAUUUGUGGAGUUUGAAAUUGGUAUGAGCAUAUGGUGUCAUUGGUUCUCGCAUCUAAGUAAUAGCAUUCCAUUCAUGAGAUCAUAUCUAAACAUGCUUAAUAACUCCAAAAAAUUGCUUUCUUUGUUAUAACAUAUGUGAGUCCUAGUCUUUCGUGUUUACAUUAAUCUUCUCACAUAUACUAGUGUAGGGUGUGUAGUCAGAAAAUGUGUGUGAAAAUAGAGAGUAUCUUGUACGAAAUUGAGCAAAUUCUCUAAGGCAUGUUACUACAUUCAAAACAUCGUUUUAAUUGGUUAAUUGUGAACUAGUAAGUGGUGACUGUGAUUAAGUAUGUGCUCAAGUGUAAAGAUGACCAAAAUCUAUGGGAAUGAUGAUUUUUAACAUGUCAUGUUUCAUUAAAAAUCCCUGAGGCAAAUGUUGGAAGGUCUAGGUUGUGUUUUGUUUGUUUCGUUUGUUUUGUUUUGCUUGAGGACUAGCAAAAGCUAAGUGUGGGGGAAUUUGAUAGGAGCAUAUUUAUGCCACUGAGUUAGCUUGUUCUCAUGCAUUUAUGUUGUUAUUUCUUAGUUAAUUAUGUAUUUUAAGCUAUUUUCAUGUGUUUGUAGGUCCAUAGGCUUUAUGAAGUAAUAAGAUGCAUUUUGGUGCAUUUUGGAGCAGUUUUGGGCUUGGAAUGAAUAGCACAUGCAUGGAGCAAGGUGGAUGGACGAAAUUGAAGACUAAAGAGGCUAGGAAUGUGUUAAAGAGAAAGAAGAAUUAAUGUAAAAAGGACAAAGAGCUCAGCCACAAAGGGGUGUCACUCCACCAUUCACCUUUCCAUCAUUGCCGAGCACCACCAUUGCACUCCCUUUGGAUUCCUAUGCCGUGCAUCAUCAUUCCUUGUUCCCUCCAUCAUUUCAAAUUUCAUGCAUCAUUACAUUGAAUCAUUGCACUUAAUUGCUACAUCAUUCCUUGUUCCCUCCAUCAUUUCAGAUUCAUGCAUCAUUAGAUUGAAUUAUUGCACUCAAUUGCUACACCAUUCCUUAUUCCCUCCAUCAUUUCAUAUUUCAUGCAUCAUUCCAUAUUCCCCUCCAUUGCCAUGCACUUCCUCUAUAAAAGGAAGUGUGUGUAACAUAAAUUUAGUUCAUACUUAGUUAGAUCAUUCACUCCCAUUUCAACACAACCUUCAUCCAAACACAUCCAUUCAUCUUCACAUCUAUUCCUCCAUACAAACAAACCUUCAAACACUCACCAACACCUUGUGCCGUAGCAAAGGAAGGGAAGGAAAGUGCUUGGACGUGCUUGCUGUCCAACUUGGAUCGUUUGAGCGUUUAGGUGUUUUCUUUCUUUUGUUUCUAAUGUUUAAAUUCAUUUCCUUUUGUUUUGUUGUAAAUAUGA
rnacentral:lncRNA from 1 species